CAAUGAUGAUACCUAUAGCUGGCACCAGUCCUAGAGACUUGUACUCUUUACCAUGCGGAAUAGCUUUUUUGAGAUAUUUCUACCUCUCCGAACUGAU
rnacentral:snoRNA from 1 species